rnacentral:miRNA from 10 species
GAGGCAGUGAAACCGUUACCAUUACUGAGUUUUUAGCAAUGGUAAGGGUUCCCCGGCCUU